rnacentral:rRNA from 1 species
AUGGUCGACACUUUUCUCUCUGUCAUCUUCAAGAUCCUCGUCAUCGCGCUGGCCUGUUCUUCCCUCCUCACCCCAGGAGAGGGGAAGUAUGUGUGCCAGGGCAAAUGCGAGGACAUACCGGACUGCGACAAGUGGUGCAAGUCGCCCGGGGGUCACCCCAAAGGAGGGCAGUGCGUGCCGCCGCUCUACCAGUUCUGCUGCUGCAUUGAGUAA